rnacentral:rRNA from 1 species
CCUACGGGAGGCAGCAGUGAGGAAUAUUGGUCAAUGGACGAGAGUCUGAACCAGCCAAGUAGCGUGAAGGAUGACUGCCCUAUGGGUUGUAAACUUCUUUUAUAUGGGAAUAAAAUGUUCCACGUGUGGGAUUUUGUAUGUACCAUAUGAAUAAGGAUCGUCUAACUCCGUGCCAGCAGCCGCGGUAAUACGGAGGAUCCGAGCGUUAUCCGGAUUUAUUGGGUUUAAAGGGAGCGUAGGUGGAUUGUUAAGUCAGUUGUGAAAGUUUGCGGCUCACCCGUAAAAUUGCAGUUGAAACUGGCAGUCUUGAUUACAGUAGGGGUGGGCGGAAUGCGUGGGGUAGCGGUGAAAUGCUUAGAUAUCACGAAGAACUCCGAUUGCGAAGGCAGUUCACUGGACUGCAACUGACACUGAGGCUCGAAAGUGUGGGUAUCAAACAGGAUUAGAUACCCCUGUAGUC